UAGUCCCGGAGGCCACAGGACGCGCAGAGGCCGGGAGGGGCGGGGCGGGCGCUGCUGUCAGCCGCCAGCCAGAACUUGUACA
rnacentral:sRNA from 10 species